ACACCGGCGGCCCGAGUGGUAACCGCUUUUAUUGGGCCUAAAGCGUUCGUAGCCGGCCUGAUAAGUCUCUGGUGAAAUCCCGCAGCUUAACUGUGGGAAUUGCUGGAGAUACUAUCAGGCUUGAGGUCGGGAGAGGUUAGAGGUACUCCCAGGGUAGGGGUGAAAUCCUAUAAUCCUGGGAGGACCACCUGUGGCGAAGGCGUCUAACUGGAACGAACCUGACGGUGAGUAACGAAAGCCAGGGGCGCGAACCGGAUUAGAUACCCGGGUAGUCCUGGCCGUAAACGAUGUGGACUUGGUGUUGGGAUGGCCUCGAGCUGCCCCAGUGCCGAAGGGAAGCUGUUAAGUCCACCGCCUGGUAAGUACGGUCGCAAGACUGAA
rnacentral:rRNA from 1 species